GGGGGAGUGCCCGAAUCAUGA
rnacentral:misc_RNA from 1 species